rnacentral:rRNA from 1 species
GACGAACGCUGGCGGCGUGCCUAAUACAUGCAAGUCGAGCGGACUUUCAAGAAGCUUGCUUUUUGAAAGUUAGCGGCGGACGGGUGAGUAACACGUGGGCAACCUGCCUGCAAGACGGGGAUAACUCCGGGAAACCGGGGCUAAUACCGGAUAAUAUCUUCCUUCGCAUGAAGGAAGGUUGAAAGGCGGCGCAAGCUGCCGCUUGCAGAUGGGCCCGCGGCGCAUUAGCUAGUUGGUGAGGUAACGGCUCACCAAGGCGACGAUGCGUAGCCGACCUGAGAGGGUGAUCGGCCACACUGGGACUGAGACACGGCCCAGACUCCUACGGGAGGCAGCAGUAGGGAAUCUUCCGCAAUGGACAAAAGUCUGACGGAGCAACGCCGCGUGAGCGAAGAAGGUCUUCGGAUCGUAAAGCUCUGUUGUCAGGGAAGAACAAGUACCGUUCGAACAGGGCGGUACCUUGACGGUACCUGACCAGAAAGCCACGGCUAACUACGUG